CACAACUCUUCAUUAUAUUACAUCAUGUUGUUCAAAAAGAAAACUGUGGUUGCUGGACUCACCUUGGCCUUGCUCCUCGUGUCAUGUUGCCCCAUGGCGUGCAAUAAGAACAAGGAAUGCAGGAAAUAUUGCGUCAGUAUUGGCUACACAACUGGGCACUGCAGCAAAAUUGGCACCUUCACAUGCGUAUGCGUCAAGGACAGGCCUCCAUUCGAGAAGCCAGCAUCGCCGGGAUGGGAACGUUCAACUGAUGAGUUGCACGUGUUUCAUGUAGGAGGAUAAACAAUGUGUUUCGAUAUAUGGGUGCGGACUAGUGUGUGACCAAGAUCCCAUGAAGUGGAAUUAUUUAAAUGCUGAAUUGCAUAACUAUCUCAUAUAUAUUAAUUUUUUA